rnacentral:rRNA from 1 species
CAAUAGCGUAUAUUUAAGUUGUUGCAGUUAAAAAGCUCGUAGUUGGAUUUCGGAUGGGACUUGCCGGUCCGUCGUUGCGAUGUGCACUGGCCAGUCCUAUCUUGUUGUCGGGGACUAGCUCUUGGUCUUCACUGGCCGGGACUAGGAGCUGACGAGGUUACUUUGAGUAAAUUAGAGUGUUCAAAGCAAGCCUACGCUCUGAAUACAUUAGCAUGGAAUAACACGAUAGGACUCUGGCUUAUCUUGUUGGUCUGUGAGACCAGAGUAAUGAUUAAGAGGGACAGUCGGGGACAUUCGUAUUUCAUUGUCAGAGGUGAAAUUCUUGGAUUUAUGAAAGACGAACUUCUGCGAAAGCAUUUGUCAAGGAUGUUUNCAUUA